UACGUAGGGGGCAAGCGUUGUCCGGAAUCAUUGGGCGUAAAGCGCGUGUAGGCGGUCCGGUAAGUCCGCUGUGAAAGUCGGGGGCUUAACCCUCGGAUGCCGGUGGAUACUGUCGGGCUUGAGUACGGAAGAGGCGAGUGGAAUUCCUGGUGUAGCGGUGAAAUGCGCAGAUAUCAGGAGGAACACCGGUGGCGAAGGCGGGUCUCUGGACAGUUCCUGACGCUGAGGCGCGAAGGCCAGGGGAGCAAACGGG
rnacentral:rRNA from 1 species